rnacentral:rRNA from 1 species
UUGACCUCGGAUCAGGUAGGAAUACCCGCUGAACUUAAGCAUAUCAAUAAGCGGAGGAAAAGAAACCAACAGGGAUUGCCCUAGUAACGGCGAGUGAAGCGGCAACAGCUCAAAUUUGAAAUCUGGCCUCGGCCCGAGUUGUAAUUUGUAGAGGAUGCUUUUGGCGCGGUGCCUUCUGAGUUCCCUGGAACGGGACGCCAGAGAGGGUGAGAGCCCCGUAUAGUUGGACACCUAGCCUCUGUAAAGCUCCUUCGACGAGUCGAGUAGUUUGGGAAUGCUGCUCAAAAUGGGAGGUAAAUUUCUUCUAAAGCUAAAUACCGGCCAGAGACCGAUAGCGCACAAGUAGAGUGAUCGAAAGAUGAAAAGCACUUUGAAAAGAGGGUUAAACAGCACGUGAAAUUGUUGAAAGGGAAGCGUUUGUGACCAGACUUGGGCCCUGCAAAUCAUCCGGCGUUCUCGCCGGUGCACUUUGCUGGGUCCAGGCCAGCAUCGGUUUUCCCAGGGGGAUAAAAGUUUGGGGAACGUAGCUCCUUCGGGAGUGUUAUAGCCCCUUGCACAAUACCUCUGGGGGGACCGAGGACCGCGCAUUGCAAGGAUGCUGGCGUAAUGGUCAUCAGCGACCCGUCUUGAAACACGGACCAAGGAGUCAAGCAUUAGGGCGAGUGUUUGGGUGUAAAACCCGCACGCGUAAUGAAAGUAAACGUAGGUGAGAGCUUCGGCGCAUCAUCGACCGAUCCUGAUGUAUUCGGAUGGAUUUGAGUAAGAGCCUUAACGCUUGGACCCGAAAGAUGGUGAACUAUGCCUGUAUAGGGUGAAGCCAGAGGAAACUCUGGUGGAGGCUCGCAGCGGUUCUGACGUGCAAAUCGAUCGUCAAAUAUGGGCAUGGGGGCGAAAGACUAAUCGAACCAUCUAGUAGCUGGUUACCGCCGAAGUUUCCCUCAGGAUAGCAGUGUUGUUUUCAGUUUUAUGAGGUAAAGCGAAUGAUUAGGGACUCGGGGGCGCUUUUUAGCCUCCAUCCAUUCUCAAACUUUAAAUAUGUAAGAAGCCCUUGUUGCUUAAUUGAACGUGGGCAUUCGAAUGUAUCAACACUAGUGGGCCAUUUUUGGUAAGCAGAACUGGCGAUGCGGGAUGAACCGAACGCGGGGUUAAGGUGCCGGAGUGGACGCUCAUCAGACACCACAAAAGGCGUUAGUACAUCUUGACAGCAGGACGGUGGCCAUGGAAGUCGGAAUCCGCUAAGGACUGUGUAACAACUCACCUGCCGAAUGUACUAGCCCUGAAAAUGGAUGA